rnacentral:lncRNA from 1 species
AGUCAGAAUCCUCACCACAAAACCUGCAACAAUGUGCCACCAAAAUGCCUAAAGCAGCUAAUCUUUCGUAUAUAGGCACGCCCAGAUUAUUAUGUUACGAUGUCAACACAUGAAUUGAAUGAAAGAUUUAUAGCACAACUUAUAGUAACACCGAGAUUAAGCUAAUUAAGCAGCUCGAACACCACAUAAUGACCCAUUAAAACAUUUGGGCAAUAGUUGAAAUGUUAAUAUAGCAGAGGGAGAAUAGGAAGAUUUAUUCAUCGGUGUGUGGAGACACCCUAUAGCGAUUUAAUGUCUUAGGCAACCGCCUUUUAACCCGGAAGUCGCGGAAGCAUGCCUUUCACUCCUCUCUCUCUCUCUCUCUCUCUCUCUCUCUCUCUCUCUCUCUCUCUCUUUGUAUGCUUUCUCUCCAUUACUGCAUGGAAGUGGAAGUGGAAACGAAAAGGAAGCUACUUCUAUUAGUUAUAUCAUGCAUUGAAGCUCUUUACAUGGAUAAUGAAGAGUUCAACUCCUACAAAGCAUCUUCUAAUCUGUCUUCCUUCACCAACAAAUUAAAAACCUACAAGUAGAGAUCAAAAGAAAGAAAGAAAGUNNNN